CUGUAAGCCGUUGAAGGUGGCCUGUGAGGGUUGCUGGAGGUAUCAGAAGUGCGAAUGCUGACAUAAGUAACGAUAAUGCGGGUGAAAAACCCGCACGCCGGAAGACCAAGGGUUCCUGUCCAACGUUAAUCGGGGCAGGGUGAGUCGACCCCUAAGGCGAGGCCGAAAGGCGUAGUCGAUGGGAAACAGGUUAAUAUUCCUGUACUCGGUGUUACUGCGAAGGGGGGACGGAGAAGGCUAUGUUGGCCGGGCGACGGUUGUCCCGGUUUAAGCAUGUAGGCGGAUGUUCCAGGUAAAUCCGGAACGUUACUAACGCUGAGGUGUGAUGACGAGGCACUACGGUGCUGAAGUGACAAAUGCCCUGCUUCCAGGAAAAGCCUCUAAGCAUCAGGUAACAUCAAAUCGUACCCCAAACCGACACAGGUGGUCAGGUAGAGAAUACCAAGGCGCUUGAGAGAACUCGGGUGAAGGAACUAGGCAAAAUGGUGCCGUAACUUCG
rnacentral:rRNA from 1 species